UACAGAGGUCCCGAGCGUUGUUCGGAUUCACUGGGCGUAAAGCGCGUGUAGGCGGUCCGUUAAGUGGGAUGUGAAAUCCCCGGGCUUAACCUGGGAAUUGCGUCGAAAACGGAUUGACUCGAGUGAGAUAGAGGGUUGUGGAAUUUCCGGUGUAGCGGUGAAAUGCGUAGAUAUCGGAAAGAACAUCAGUGGCGAAGGCGACAACCUGGAUCUUAACUGACACUGAGGCGCGAAGGCGUGGGGAGCAAACAGG
rnacentral:rRNA from 1 species